rnacentral:lncRNA from 1 species
AUUGUGGAUAGCCUUCAUCUACGUUCUUGAAUACCGAGGCACAAGCUUUUCGAAUAGCAUGGAAAUUCAUUCGUGUGGCAUAUACAAAUAAGUUCUCACUACUCGCUGCUGAAUAAAGGUGAGCAAAUUCUUGAAGUUUCUAGGGCUGAUAUGGAACCCACUAUCAUGGGUUAUGAGAUUGCAAGUGGAGGAGUAAGAACCAAGAACUCUACUUAAAUUCAAUACAAGUUAGUCAAAUUUGAUAAAGCAAUUACUGCGGUGUAUUCUGGGAGUAAGGCCUUCGAGUUUCUGGGUCUGUAAGAUGUUGAAGAUUUUUCAUCUCCGCCAUGUAAUCUUAGGUUGUUGGCUGGAACUGUGAUCGUCAAGGCAUUUUGAAAGAUAAUAAUGGGAGUUCAAAACAGGAGCUGGAGAAUAAUUUGACGACUGGGGUUGUUUGUUCCAUUAUAGUUAUUCAUAAUUUUUAUUAUUCGGCCACUCAUCAAACAUCUGCAAAGCCAAAUCGUUGAUAAAGUGGAAGUAUUUCUUAAGAUCAAUCAAUGGAGAGAGGUUCAUCAAUGAGGCGCCUAAGGCGCUUGUGCUAAAAGCCGUAUUAAUUCCUACAACCAUCAAACAUAUGUUAUUGUAAUUGUGUGUAGAUUAUUUUUUUCUUUUUUAUCAUUUUUUAUUGUUUUCAUGGCUUUAGCAGCAUGUAAAAAUUUUCCAGCAUUUGAAUAGUUUUCUGUUUUUUUUCUUCCAAUGUAUGUAUUU